UUACGGUUGGCCAGUCUGCUCUGCUCCGGCUGCGCACUGUCCGCGGACUGGGUGCUGGAGACCGAGGACACGCUGGAGCUCCGCACGAAGCCAAACGCCGCCAGCUUGGCUGCUGGGAGACGUGAUAUCCCCAGAACAAUGAAAGUAUCCCCAUAUAUCAGAUACCACCUUCACAAGUCACGAAAAUGUUCUAAAAUUGAUGGUGGUGAUGGUUGCACAACUCUGUGAACAGACGUAGAACCACCGGAUUUACAAUUUAAAUGAGCGCAUUGUAUGGGUUCCAGGCUCGACAGCCGGGGCCCAGGAAGUGUAUGCUGGUGAGAAGCAGAGGUGAACCCAUAAGCCCUGUGAAUUAUAGUGUUGGGUGAACCACACUCUCCCCAGCUGGAAGACUUUUUGCAGUGAAGGAACAAACCGAGAGACUCCCUACCGAGGUGGUCAGCAGGAAGUCAUGGCAGGAGUGAGCAUUCAGACCGCUUUAAUGUGGUAUCCUAGCUGUCUGGCUUUUCUUUGUCCUUUUUCCUCCAGAAGGAUGGUAUGCAGAUAUUUCCCUUCAUUUCCUGGGAGAGUCUGACGGGUACAAGCACAGGUAUCCUAAAACUUGAGGCACUGCAGACCCAAUGAAUGUUUCAAGUCGUUUCACUAUAGUAUGGUUCCGAGUGGUAUUGCUGGGUGAGGAACGUUCUGCAAAUUUGGCAAACGUAUGCUGUCCUAUGGCCACCACCAGCACAGUCAAACAAAACGAACACUUCCACGAACUCCAAAAAUUGCCCCAAGCCGUUUUGUAGAUCAACCAUUCCCUGAUCCCUAGUCCCUGCCAACCAAUAAUCCGGUCUCUGUUCCUAGGUUUUGCCUUUUCCAGAAUGUCAAUUAAAUGUAACUACACAGUGUGAA